rnacentral:rRNA from 1 species
AUUGAACGCUGGCGGCAGGCCUAACACAUGCAAGUCGAGCGAGCGGCGGACGGGUGAGUAAUGUCUGGGAAACUGCCCGAUGGAGGGGGAUAACUACUGGAAACGGUAGCUAAUACCGCAUACCAUCAGAUGUGCCCAGAUGGGAUUAGCUAGUAGGUGGGGUAACGGCUCACCUAGGCGACGAUCCCUAGCUGGUCUGAGAGGAUGACCAGCCACACUGGAACGGAGACACGGUCCAGACUCCUACGGGAGGCAGCAGUGGGGAAUAUUGGACAAUGGGCGCAAGCCUGAUGCAGCCAUGCCGCGUGUGUGAAGAAGGCCUUCGGGUUGUAAAGCACUUGUGGCGGGGAAGCGGUACCCGCAGAAUAAGCACCGGCUAACUCCGUGCCAGCAGCCGCGGUAAUAC